rnacentral:rRNA from 1 species
UGGCGGACGGGUGAGUAAUGUCUGGGAAACUGCCCGAUGAGGGGGGUAACUACUGGAAACGGUAGCUAAUACCGCAUAACGUCGCAAGACCAAAGAGGGGGACCUUCGGGCCUCUUGCCAUCGGAUGUGCCCAGAUGGGAUUAGCUAGUAGGUGGGGUAACGGCUCACCUAGGCGACGAUCCCUAGCUGGUCUGAGAGGAUGACCAGCCACACUGGAACUGAGACACGGUCCAG